CUCUUAUCCUGAGCUGGCGGAGGGACAGGCCCUAUGAAACCCGGCAACCGACAUCGUGUUAUUAGUUUACAACGUACAUGAUGAAAAGGUGCCAACCUGAUGCAAGACUCACAUAGUCUUGAACGAUAAGAG
rnacentral:ncRNA from 1 species